UACGUAGGUGGCAAGCGUUGUCCGGAUUUACUGGGCGUAAAGGGCUUGUAGGCGGUUCGUUAAGUCUGGUGUGAAAUCUCCCGGCUCAACCGGGAGGGGUCAUCGGAUACUGGCGGACUAGAGACAGGUAGAGGAAAGCAGAAUUCCCGGUGUAGCGGUGAAAUGCGUAGAUAUCGGGAGGAAUACCAGUGGCGAAGGCGGCUUUCUGGGCCUGUUCUGACGCUGAGGAGCGAAAGCGUGGGGAGCAAACCGG
rnacentral:rRNA from 1 species